GAACAUAUUGGUAUUAUUCAUCGGGUGUUGAUGCCUAAUUUACUAUAAGAUCCAACUGAUGUACUCGGUCUGUGAUUUUGAUACUUGUUUUAUCAUGGGACAAAGUUUCCUGCCUUUGCAUCUCAACCUUGUCUUUGCUAACUGUUAUAAACUAAAAAAAAAAGCCUACAAAAACCUGGAGCAUGCCACAAAGAAAACUAGACACCGUGCAACAGACUCCAACUUGAGACUAGCAAUACCAAGCCAGGAAACAAUCUUGCACUGGAGUUAAUACACUAAUACAACUGAGAAAUUACAGAAAAAUCUUUUGAGGCAUGUUCUUGAAUUUCUUUGAUUGCAAAAAUAUUCUCUCCUAUCAGAUUGACUCGAGCAACUGAUAGUAGCAACCUAUGUUAUCCGGACUCUCCAUUUUUGUGCCUAUACCCGUGUCCACCGGACAUGACAUGGGUGUGGGUAUGGGAUCUGUGUCGGAUCCUUCUUAUUACAACCGGACACCUCACCUUAUAACAUCCCAGGUCAAAAUGAAAACUUAGGUCUUGUUUCAACUUGUUUAUAGAGAUCAAGAUCAAUGAAUGACUUGUUUCUACGUUGUUCUAUUGAUUUUAUGCUUCAAUUUUCAGCGUAUGUGAUUUAUGUGAUUUAUGUGCAGUAGACACUAUUUUUAUGAAUGUACCAUAAAUGAGGCUAUAUAAAGUUUGACUUGUGUGGAGCUUAAGCGCCAAGUCCCCGUACCCAAGUCUAAUUCCGGAUCCACGUCCACGAAUCCUAAUUAUCCUAAAACUACGAAUCUGACUCUUGGAUCUGUACCCGUGUCCGAUACCCAUACCCGUGUCCGGGUAACUUAGGUAGCAACUAUAAAUAAUCAUCCAAGCUAAUACUUGAAGCUACUUCUCAAUAGGAUCGACAAGCAAGUACAGAUACUAAUCUUCUACAGCAGUUGGUAUAGGGCAGUGCCUUACAUUCAAAAUGGAAUAAGAGCCCUUGAAAAAAACAAAGAGGUGCUUAACAGAUUCAUCAUGUGACCUACAACAGGCACAAGUGGGAGCAAUUCGAAUCCCAAUACUAAUCAUGAGGGUAACCUGCUUUUGAUUGCUAGCCAAAUCAUAAAAAGAAUAAACUCUGGGACCUUGAUAAUCGUCCAGAGUUAACUAAAGGGUGCUCUUUAACAAAAUGUUUACUGUCAAUGACUAUUCCGACGGCCAAAAUGCUCCGUCAUAUCAGUAAUUUUGUGUAAACAUAACCCAUUCCGCAGGAUAUAAUCCCAGGAGGGAAUUGCUUUACUGAUUAACUGUCGAGAUUAUUCACAAGGACAAAAUUGGACGACAUUAAACAAGGAAUCAUAAAA
rnacentral:lncRNA from 1 species